GUUUGAAGACUCAGAUCAGUUCUGAGUCAAAGAAUUAUUUCUGCUUCAAAGCAUGAGGCAGUACAAAAUACGUAUUUUCCUUAGAUGGGAUGCAGUGUUGUGUUUCUCAAUCCCUUUUUUCCAAAGGUAGUUCAGAUCUGGCACGUGGCAGCAGAAAAAGCAGAUGCAUACAAACCUAUAAUUUACCUGUAGGAAAUGGCACUGGAACUGACAACACGGGGAUGUAACUGUGGUGGGAUUGCUGAAAUGCAGCCUGCUGUGUGCAGGGACAGUGAUGGGUUAAAUAUUAACAUCCAGAAAAGCCCAGCUGCUGGAUGGAGAGUGCAGAGUGGAGUCACUGCUGGAGCUGGGAUCCUCACACAGGUACAGAGUGCAGGAUUGGGAUUGGGAUUGGGAUCCUCACACAGGUACAGAGUGCAGGAUUGGGAUCCUCACACAGGUACAGAGAGCAGGGAUUGGGAUUGGGAUCCUCACACAGGUACAGAGUGCAGGAUUGGGAUUGGGGUCCUCACACAGGUACAGAGUGCAGGAUUGGGAUUGGGGUCCUCACACAGGUACAGAGUGCAGGAUUGGGAUUGGGGUCCUCACACAGGUACAGAGUGCAGGAUUGGGAUUGGGGUCCUCACACAGGUACAGAGUGCAGGAUUGGGAUUGGGGUCCUCACACAGGUACAGAGUGCAGGAUUGGGAUUGGGAUCCUCACACAGGUAGAGUGCAGGGCACAGUGCCCACACUGGCUCUGUUUUUCCUUUUUCUGGAUGUUUCCAGAAUUCAUUCUCCUGAGCAGACACAUGGCAGAGUUUAAUCCAUUAAGAUAAAGCAGGCAAUUUGUGAUUUAUGGCAGCAGAACAACUUCCUUUCUCUUUCAAGUCUUCAUUAAUGACACUAAUAAAGAUUUGAAGAAAACUGGCUCUGUAUUUACAGCCAGGUCUUUGGAAACUCUGACAGGAGGGACACUUGCAGAAAUGAGUCCAUUAGCUGUAGGAACAUUAAUUAAUUUAUAAAUCUGCAACAGCUGUUAGAGAGACUCAGCUUUAUCUGCAAAGGCCCCAGGACUUUACA
rnacentral:lncRNA from 12 species